GACGAACGCUGGCGGCGUGCCUAAUACAUGCAAGUCGAACGCACUCUCGUUUAGAUUGAAGGAGCUUGUUCCUAAUUGAUAAACAUUUGAGUGAGUGGCGGACGGGUGAGUAACACGUGGGUAACCUGCCCUAAAGUGGGGAUAACAUUUGGAAACAGAUGCUAAUACCGCAUAAAACCUAACACCGCAUGGUGUAGGGUUGAAAAGAUGGUUUCGGCUAUCACUUUAGGAUGGACCCGCGGUGCAUUAGUUAGUUGGUGAGGUAAAGGCUCACCAAGACCGUGAUGCAUAGCCGACCUGAGAGGGUAAUCGGCCACACUGGGACUGAGACACGGCCCAGACUCCUACGGGAGGCAGCAGUAGGGAAUCUUCCACAAUGGACGAAAGUCUGAUGGAGCAACGCCGCGUGAGUGAAGAAGGUUUUCGGAUCGUAAAACUCUGUUGUUGGAGAAGAAUGUAUCUGAUAGUAACUGAUCAGGUAGUGACGGUAUCCAAUC
rnacentral:rRNA from 1 species